rnacentral:rRNA from 1 species
CACGUAGGCGGACCAUCAAGUUGGGGGUGAAAUCCCGGGGCUCAACCCCGGAACUGCCUCCAAAACUGCUGGUCUGGAGGUCGAGAGAGGCGAGUGGAAUUCCGAGUGUAGAGGUGAAAUUCGUAGAUAUUCGGAGGAACACCAGUGGCGAAGGCGGCUCGCUGGCUCGAUACUGACGCUGAGGUGCGAAAGCGUGGGGAGCAAACA